rnacentral:rRNA from 1 species
UUUUAUGGAGAGUUUGAUCCUGGCUCAGGAUGAACGCUGGCGGCGUGCCUAAUACAUGCAAGUCGAGCGAACGGACGAGAAGCUUGCUUCUCUGAUGUUAGCGGCGGACGGGUGAGUAACACGUGGAUAACCUACCUAUAAGACUGGGAUAACUUCGGGAAACCGGAGCUAAUACCGGAUAAUAUUUUGAACCGCAUGGUUCAAAAGUGAAAGACGGUCUUGCUGUCACUUAUAGAUGGAUCCGCGCUGCAUUAGCUAGUUGGUAAGGUAACGGCUUACCAAGGCAACGAUGCAUAGCCGACCUGAGAGGGUGAUCGGCCACACUGGAACUGAGACACGGUCCAGACUCCUACGGGAGGCAGCAGUAGGGAAUCUUCCGCAAUGGGCGAAAGCCUGACGGAGCAACGCCGCGUGAGUGAUGAAGGUCUUCG